CCAUCGACAAGAUGGAGGAAGGUGGGGAUGACGUCAAGUCAUCAUGGCCCUUAUGUCCAGGGCGACACACGUGCUACAAUGGCCGGCACAACGGGAAGCGAGUUCGCGAGGACGAGCGGAUCCCUCAAAGCCGGUCGCAGUUCGGAUUGAAGUCUGCAACUCGACUUCAUGAAGCUGGAAUCGCUAGUAAUCGUGGAUCAGCCAAGCCGCGGUGAAUACGUUCCCGGGCCUU
rnacentral:rRNA from 1 species